UUCUUUAAUUGGGGGCUGGAAUGAAGGGUAGAAAUUUAAGGGGAAUGUUUUUAUUUUUAUUUUGAAUUUAAGUUAAAAGUAAAAAUGCUUUUAUAAAUUUUUGGGACGAGAAGACCCUAGAAGUUUGAAAGGUUAUGUUUUUGAUUGGGGCAAUUGUUGAGGAUAAAAGAUUUUUGAUUAGAGUUUUGAGGAUUAGAAAAUUACUCUAGGGAUAACAGCAUAAUUUAAUUGGCGAGUUCUUAUUAAUAAUUAAGUUUGUGACCUCGAUGUUGAAUUAAAUUGAAUUUUAAAUGAAGAAGUUUAAAUAUUUAGUCUGUUCGACUAUUAAUGGUUUACGUGAUCUGAGU
rnacentral:rRNA from 1 species